rnacentral:rRNA from 1 species
UACAGAGGGUGCAAGCGUUGUUCGGAAUUACUGGGCGUAAAGCGCGUGUAGGCGGUUUAAUAAGUCAGAUGUGAAAUCCCUCAGCUUAACUGAGGAACUGCAUCUGAUACUGUUAAACUUGAGUAUCGGAGGGGAUGGCGGAAUUCCUGGUGUAGAGGUGAAAUUCGUAGAUAUCAGGAGGAACACCUGUGGCGAAGGCGGCCAUCUGGACGGAUACUGACGCUGAGACGCGAAAGCGUGGGUAGCAAACAGG